CCCCUCCUCAAUACCACAUCUGUUGUCGUUGUCUUUUUUUGCCUGUUUCCUCGCUUCGCCUUUGUCGUCGCUUCAUCAGCAACCCUCCUCUGCCCCCUGCCCCGUGCCUCCCCCCUCUCUCUCUGCGCGUGCGUGUGUGUUCGUGUGUAUCGGCUACCCUCCUCUCUCCCUGUUGAGGGAACAUAUUGAGACACACGGCCACUCACGCAGAGAUACGCAGACACACAUACGUAGCAUCGCGCCUGCGUUCACGUGCGAGGGAGAUUACGAGUGUGCGUGUUUGCUGUGUCGUAUCCCCCCUCCCGCUUCUCUCUUGUUUUGUUUGUAUGAGCCCUGCAGCCUAUCCUCCUCACCGUCCCUCCUCCGGCCCGCUUGUCUUCAUUUGCCACACGAGCGCGUUACGAUCACGACAAGCACUACUUGAAAGCCUCUUCUUAGUUCGUUUUUUUUUUUUCGCUUCUCCUUUUUUUUCCGCAUCUUUCCCUGUUCUCUGUCUGCGUCUCUCUGUGUGUGUCUCUCUCGUGUAUCCGCCUCCGGCAUUUUUCAUGUACCUUCGCCCUUCCCCCGCUCACUCCCUCCGCUCUCUCGCCGCGGUUGCUACUUUUGCGCUGUUUUCUCGUCUGAGGGGGCUCCACCUCUACCCCUUUGUUUUGUCAUUGGCGCGCUGCUAAAUCGACGUUAGGGUGAAGAGGACAGGGCGCGUGGGUUGCUGUUUGCUUGCUCCUCGCUCUGAUCUUCUCGCCUUCAUACCUUCCCGCCCUCCCCGGUUGUCUUGUCGGACGCAACAGUACAGAAGAACGAGCAGCGCAAACAAAGGUACUCCGCACACGCACACGCGCAAGAGUUGCACACGAGAAAGUCAUGUUGUAUUUCUUCGCCGCUGUUCUCUGUGCCGUCAGCGCACUGCUGCUGUUGAACCGAGCGCUCUCGCGGCUGCGGUGGAGCCCGGCGCGCACGUCGUACGACUACGAUGUCAUCAUUGUCGGUGGCAGUAUCGCGGGCCCGGUGCUGGCCAAGGCGCUUUCGGAUCAGGGUCGAAAGGUGCUGAUGGUGGAACGGACGCUUUUCACUAAGCCGGACCGCAUCGUCGGUGAGCUGCUGCAGCCUGGCGGUCUGAACGCGCUGAAAGAGGUGGGCAUGAAGGAGUGCGCCGAGACUAUUGGCAUGCCCUGCCGUGGCUACGUGGUGGUAGACCAUAAGGGCAAUCAUGUGGAGCUGCCCUACCGCAAGGGCGCCUCGGGAGUGUCCUUCCAUUUCGGCGACUUUGUGCAGAGUCUGCGCUCGCACGUCUUCCACAAGUGCAAGGCGAAUGUUACGAUGAUCGAGGGCACCGUCAACAACAUCUUGACGGAGGGCCUCUCCUUCGGCGAGCGCGCCUACGGCGUCGAGUACACGGUAGCGGAGAAGUAUGAGGUGCCAGCCAAUCCGUUCCGCGAGGACCCGCCCAAGGCCAACCGCGUGGCCCCGACGGUGCGCAAGGUUGCCACGGCACCGCUAGUUGUCAUGUGCGAUGGUGGCAUGUCCAAGUGGAAAAGCCGCUACCAGCACUACACCCCUGCCUACGACUACCACUCGCACUUUAUUGGCCUCGUGCUCAAGACGGUGCGUCUGCCCAAGGAGCAGCGCGGGGCGGUCUUCCUCGGCAAGACGGGCCCGAUUCUGUCAUACCGCCUGGACGACAACGAACUGCGCUUACUGGUGGACUACAACAAGCCCACAUUGCCCAGCCUCGAGAAGCAGAGCGAGUGGCUCAUCCAGGACGUGGCGCCGCGCCUGCCGGAGAACAUGCGCGAAGAGUUUGUUCGGGUAUCAAAAGACACAAAGAGUCUGCGCAGCAUGCCUAUGGCGCGCUAUCCGCCUGCGUUUCCCUCCAUCAAGGGCUACGUUGGCAUCGGCGACCAUGCCAACCAACGGCACCCGCUGACGGGCGGUGGCAUGACGUGCUGCUUCCGCGACGCAAUUCGCCUGGCAAACAGCUUGAAUGGUAUCCAGUCACUGCGCUCCGUCAACCAGGAGGAGAUGGCCGCCAUCGAGGACAAGAUGCAGGCCGCCAUUUUGAACUAUGCGCGCUACCGCUACACCCACAGUUGCUGCAUCAAUCUACUGUCGUGGGCUCUUUACUCCGUCCUCAGCAGCCCGGCCUUGCGGGACGCGUGCUUCGACUACUUUUUGUGCGGUGGGAACUGCGUGACGGGCCCGAUGGAUCUGCUAGCGGGUCUCGACCCAAACGUAGGCAACCUCUUCUUUCACUACUGCUGCGUGAUGCUGCACGGCGUCGCUAACGUAAUGAUGAGGACGGGUGCGUACAGCAAAACUGGCAAACAGCUGUCCAACUCGGAGAAGCUGACCAACGUCGCCUCCUUCUUCGUGGACUGGGAGCGCAUAAAGCAUGCGGCGUAUCUGCUGGGCAAGUCGACGAAGAUCGCGCUUCCGCUGGCGAAGAACGAGUUCUACUCUAUGUGGCGCUUCGUCGAUCCCACGAGCCCACUGGCCAACAUCUCCAAGAGCAUCAAGACGAUGGUCUACACGAGGCAGUUCAACGGCAAACAACGCAAGCCUGUUGGCCUCUGAGCCGCACACGUUACUGUGGGGGUGUCCGCUCCCUUCUCACGCGCUCAUGUUUCUGUGACGGAUUAUGUGUAAGAUUGAGAGCGUGCGCACGUACGGGCUCUUGGUAGGGACCUGCGAGCAGGAAUAGAGGAGAUGAUGCGCAACUUUGGUAAAUGACGCAAAACUCUCUCCUCUAGGCUUUUUCGCUCACUUACCUUCUUUCGAACAUCUCUGCACGCGUCGCGCGCCGUUCUCCCUGAUCUUCUUCCUUAACGUUUUUUUCUAUUUCCCCCCAUCGUCUCUCUAAAGGUACUUCUCGCCAUCCCCCUCUCCAAUCAGCCUGUGUGCCAGCUCUUCUCUCCCGUCCCCGUGAAGGCUGAUGAGUUUGUACAUAUGUGUACAUGUGCACGUGUGUGUGUGUCCUUCGUGAGUUUUGUCCGCAAAGGUGCAAGGAGAGACGUGCCUGCAUCUUGUGUUUCUUCUUUCGAACAGUAUCCCCCUUUCGGGUGGAAGCAGAGGUGGUGGGAGAAGCGGUGCCUUGUCUCUCUUGGUUUACGGCUUCGCGACUAUGCACACACACACACACAUAUAUAUAUAUAUAGACCGUCCCCUGCCUCUCUUCCAUCCCUCCGAAUCCACAAACGCACGCACCCUGGACCGCCGCUUCUGCUCACUGACGCGCCGCCGCUCGUGCGCGCACAAACAUGAAUGCUAGACCCCCUUUUCUCUCUCUUGUGAUGGUUGAAAAGAUGGAAAGAGGGGGGAACACGUGCGAAAAAAGAGGCCACGCAUGGAAAGGCGCGCACCCAGAGAGUCCCCCCACACACGCGCAUGCGCAGCUGCUAAAGCACGAGAACGCUCUGUGCAGGCGAGAAAAACGAGGCAAAGUUGAUGAACAUUACACGAGAGGGUGACUGCGCGAAGACCACCCUCUCCCUGACAUCUUCGACUCCUUCCUCUCCUGUGCUCCCCCUCCACAUCUCUCCCGGUAUAUGUGUGUGUGUGUGUAUGCGUGCAUACUUUCAUGCCAGAGAGAGGGGCAAGAGGGAGAAGGAGUGAGAAAGUGUGCACACUUCUUUGAAGAAC
rnacentral:misc_RNA from 1 species